AUGAACGCUAGCGGCAGGCUUAACACAUGCAAGUCGAGGGGCAGCACUUGUGGCAAUACAUGGUGGCGACCGGCGCAAGGGGUGCGUAACGCGUUGAGCAACAUGCCCGUAUCAGGGGGAUAAUCCAGGGAAACUUGGUCUAAUACCCCAUUAGCAAUUAUUUGAGGCAUCUUAAAUAUUUAAAGCUUUGGUGGAUACGGAUUGGCUCGCGUGACAUUAGCUAGAUGGUAAGGUAACGGCUUACCAUGGCUACGAUGUCUAGGGGUUCUGAGAGGAAGAUCCCCCACACUGGAACUGAGACACGGUCCAGACUCCUACGGGAGGCAGCAGUGAGGAAUAUUGGACAAUGGAUGGAAAUCUGAUCCAGCCAUGCCGCGUGCAGGAAGACGGCCCUAUGGGUUGUAAACUGCUUUUGUGUGGGAGCAAUAAGGUCUAUGCGUAGACUGAUGAGAGUACCAUACGAAUAAGCAUCGGCUAACUCCGUG
rnacentral:rRNA from 1 species